rnacentral:misc_RNA from 1 species
GAUGAAGAACGUAGCGAAAUGCGAUAAGUAAUGUGAAUUGCAGAAUUCAGUGAAUCAUCGAAUCUUUGAACGCACAUUGCGCCCUCUGGUAUUCCGGGGGGCAUGCCUGUUCGAGCGUCAUUAUAACCACUCAAGCUCUCGCAUGGUAUUGGGGUUCGCGGUUCCGCGGCCCCUAAAAUCAGUGGCGGUGCCUGUCGGCUCUACGCGUAGUAAUACUCCUCGCGAUUGAGUCCGGUAGGUCUACUUGCCAGCAACCCCCAAUUUUUACAGGUUGACCUCGGAUCAGGUAGGGAUACCCGCUGAACUUAAGCAUAUCAAUAAGCGGAGGA